rnacentral:lncRNA from 1 species
UCCGAAUAAUUUAUUGAAUGAACUAAUUGCCAUGCAAAGGCAUCAAAAUAUGCAAUUAGACCAAGAAAAACAGAUAUUGAGUUUAGACUACAUAUGGUCAGUAAACUUCAAAACAACGAUAAUGAUAUGGGUCAACAAAGAAAAUUAUAAUCUAGACCACGUAUGGUCAAAACGAAAUUCACAUAAAAAAACAGGAACAUAAUUUCCUCAUAUCUUCUCCUUCUUGACAACUUUCAAAAGCUUAUUUAUCCUUCUUGACAGCUUUGAAUACCUUUUGUGGGUAAUCAUCAACUACAAUUGAAAAGGACAAAAACUCAGUAUCAGUUUACAGAAAAAAUUCAGAUCUAACAUGUCAAUUGAAUAUAAAGUGGGAAAAAAGACUUUAGAUAUGAGAAGGUUGAUUGAUACAAAUUUGCAUACAAAAAUUUCGAUUGAUAUGAAAAGUUUGUUUGAAAAAAUACAUUUUGUUGUCAAUUAAACAACUGCAAUUGAAAAAGCCAAAAACUCAGUAUUAUUUAACGAAAAAAAUUCAGAUCUAACAGUUCCAUUGAAUAGAUAGUGGGAAAACCGGAAAAAAUUCCGAUCUAACAUGUCAAUUCAAUAGAAAGUGCGAAAAAAAUACCUUUUGUUGUCAAUUCAACAACUGCAGUUGAAAAGGCCAAAAACUCAGUAUUAGUUAACGGAGAAAAUUCAGAUCUAACAGUUCAAUUGAAUGGAUAGUGGGAAAAUCGGAAAAAGAUUCAGAUCUAACAGGUAAAAUGAAUAGAAAGUGCGAAAAAAUACAUUUUGAUAUGAGAAGGUUGAAACUAAAAACUUGCAGAAUAAGGAUGACAAAAACA